ensembl:snoRNA
AACCCUUUUAAAAAAACUAAACAGUACUCCCUGACAUAUACAGGCCUCUGCUAUGGGGGUGAUAGCCAGUCCUAGAGUCUGAAUGAUU